rnacentral:rRNA from 1 species
CAAUAGCGUAUAUUAAAGUUGUUGCAGUUAAAAAGCUCGUAGUUGGAUUUGUGGCGUACGGUGUGUUCCGGGCACUUGUUGUCUGAGUAACCUGCUGUUGCCAUCCUUGGGUGGAACCUGUGUGGCAUUAGGUUGUCGUGCAGGGGAUGCCCAUCAUUUACUGUGAAAAAAUUAGAGUGUUCAGAGCAGGCUUAUGCCGUUGAAUAUAUUAGCAUGGAAUAAUGAGAUAGGACUUUUUUGCUAUUUUGUUGGUUUGCGCAAGAAGGUAAUGAUUAAUAGGGACAGUUGGGGGUAUUCGUAUUCCAUUGUCAGAGGUGAAAUUCUUGGAUUUUUGGAAGACGAACUACUGCGAAAGCAUUUACCAAGGAUGUUUUCAUUAA